AUGCUUACCUGGCAGGGGAAAGACUAUGAUUAUGAAGGUGGUCCAGGGUCAGGCUUAUCCACUGCACUUUGGUGUGCUGACCCCUGCGAUUUCCUCAAAUGUAGGAAACUUGAUUUCAUAAUUUGUGGUCUGAGGAACUGUGUUCAUGCUAUCCCCU
rnacentral:snRNA from 1 species